rnacentral:rRNA from 1 species
UACGUAGGGGGCGAGCGUUGUCCGGAUUCAUUGGGCGUAAAGCGCUUUAAGGCGGUUCGCUAAGUCGGGUGUGAAACCUCCAGGCUCAACCUGGAGACGCCACUCGAUACUGGCGUGACUAGAGUUCGGUAGGGGACCACGGAAUUCCUGGUGUAGCGGUGAAAUGACGCAGAUAUCAGGAGGAACACCAGUGGCGAAGGCGGUGGUCUGGGCCGAUACUGACGCUGUAGAGCGAAAGCGUGGGGAGCGAACAGG